GUGCAAGUUAAGAAUUUCGUGAUAGCUAUUUAUUAUCCAGGGAGAGGUAAGGCAUAAAUUGACAGAUAUCGUUAAGUUUACAUGGAAAUAGUAAUUUAAUAAAAAAUAGAAAGUGAGAUACAAUUUCAAAUUUUAUAACGCUGAAUAAUAUUGUGCGAAAAAUCUUACCGCAAUCACUACAUUUACUAAUUUUAUAGUCGACAAUAUAUGGAUCAACACUUGUUGUACAUUCACUUCCAUCAGCCAUCAGUUUAUCGUAGCAUUUGUCAUGUUCAUGGCAACACCU